CCUACGGGUGGCAGCAGUCGAGAAUCAUUCACAAUGGGGGAAACCCUGAUGGUGCGACGCCGCGUGGGGGAAUGAAGGUCUUCGGAUUGUAAACCCCUGUUAUGUGGGAGCCAAUUAAAAAGAUAGUACCACAAGAGGAAGAGACGGCUAACUCUGUGCCAGCAGCCGCGGGAAUACAGAGGUCUUAAGCGUUGUUCGGAAUCACUGGGCGUAAAGCGUUCGGAGGCUGUUUCGUAAGUCGUGUGUGAAAGGCGCGGGCUCAACCCGCGGACGGCACAUGAUACUGCGAGACUAGAGUAAUGGAGGGGGAACCGGAAUUCUCGGUGUAGCAGUGAAAUGCGUAGAUAUCGAGAGGAACACUCGUGGCGAAGGCGGGUUCCUGGACAUUAACUGACGCUGAGGCACGAAGGCCAGGGGAGCGAAAGGGAUUAGAUACCCGUGUAGUC
rnacentral:rRNA from 1 species